CUUUCCUUUGUUGUUUAUUAAUGCAACAUUCUUGAAGAGUAAAUACCAGUUGCACCUUAUUGCAGCAUGUGGAAAGCAAGGAGAUCAAGGAUUUUUUUCCUCUAUCUUUUGGCAUUGUUGAUUCCGAGACGGAGGAUAAUUGGACCUGGUAUCUUCAACAUUUGGCAAGUAUUUUGAUUCCAAUGGGUAGAACGAUUACUUUUUUAUAUGAUCGUCAACCAUGACUAUUAAAUGCUGUUUCAACGUUUUUCUUGGCUGGCCUCACUCGUAUUGCUAUUUCCAUUUGAAACAAAAUAUGUCAAUCAAGUUUCCGAAGUCAGGCUAUGGUCAGACGCUCCGAACUAAUGUACUAAAUUUUUUUUCAACAUGUGCAUAUGCUGUGACUGAAGUCGAGUUUAAUAACUUUAUAGAUCAAUUGUUGAAUAUAGGGAAUGAUAUUUAGUACUGACCUUUCUAAAGAGCAUUAUUCUAAUGCUUGUUUUCAAGGGAUGCGCUAUGGUGAGAGGGCUAAUAGUUUAGCAGAGUCAUUCAACAAUUGGAUUCUAGAGUUUUAGAAUUGCCUGUGUUGCCUUGUUGGCAGGCAUUCAAAAGAAAUUGAUGGUGUUGAAUGCUCAUCGUAGAUUGGAAGCUGAGAAGUGGACUGAAAUUCUUUGUCCGGAGAUGGAGAAGACUUUGAAUGGUGCAAUAGAGGUUGGUAGGUGUUGGUCUAUUCACCGUUUAAAUGCGACAAUUUUAGAAGUGAUUGAGGAUUGGUCUGUGAUGGUUGAUCUAGAGUCAAAGACUUGUUCUUGUCGUCUUCGGCAGAUUGAUGGGUUUCCGUGUGAACAUGCGUUGAUAGCCAUGGUAUCAAUACGAGCAUGUGUUUAUGAUUAUAUUGAAGAUUAUUUCAAGCCAGAUUUCUAUCGAAAGACAUAUGAAUAUCCCGAUAUUUCCUGUACCAACAAUUGGGAAAGGAUUGGACAUUGAUGGUUUAGUUGAUCAAGAUCAAGUUGUGCUCCUCUAAUUACUAAGCGGCCUCCCGAAAGACCUGUAACAAAGAGGAUCAAAAUUUUUUGUGAUACGAAGAGAGCCUUGAAGUGCAGUCGAUGUGGUUUGGUGAAAUUAAGGGCACAAUAAGAAGACAUGCAUGGCAGUUAUUAAUUGAAUUUGAAUUUUCAGUUUAUAUACAUUGAGAUACUUGUUUCCUGGUUCAGUUUUUAUCAUUUGAAUUUUAACAAUAAAAUGUAGUGUGCAGUUUUUGCUUCUACUUUUGUCUUUGGAUUCAGACACUUCGCUUCAGUGUCUGUUUCCUAGUUCAGUUUUUACCAUUUGAAUGGAGAUACUAGAAUGCAGUUUUCAUAUCUUACUUCUGGUUUCACCUUUGGAUUCAAA